UACAGAGGGUGCGAGCGUUGUCCGGAAUCACUGGGCGUAAAGGGCGCGUAGGUGGCGCUCCAAGUCUGUGGUGAAAGCUCGAUGCUUAACAUCGAGUCGGCCACGGAGACUGGAGGGCUCGAGCACUGUAGGGGCAGAUGGAAUUCCGGGUGUAGCGGUGGAAUGCGUAGAGAUCCGGAAGAACACCGGUGGCGAAGGCGGUCUGCUGGGCAGUAGCUGACACUGAGGCGCGACAGCGUGGGGAGCAAACAGG
rnacentral:rRNA from 1 species